rnacentral:rRNA from 1 species
GAUGAACGCUAGCGGCAGGCUUAACACAUGCAAGUCGAGGGGCAGCAUGAUGUAGCAAUACAUUGAUGGCGACCGGCGCAAGGGUGCGUAACGCGUGAGUAACAUGCCCGUAUCAGGGGGAUAACCCGAAGAAAUUCGGACUAAUACCCCAUAGUAAUUUGUGGAGGCAUCUUGAGGUAAUUAAAUCUUCGGAGGUAUAAGAUGGGCAUGCGUAGCAUUAGCUAGAUGGUGCGGUAACGGCGUACCAUGGCGACGAUGCUUAGGGGUUCUGAGAGGAAGGUCCCCCACACUGGUACUGAGAUACGGACCAGACUCCUACGGGAGCAGCAGUGAGGAUAUUGGUCAAUGGUCGAAGACUGAACCAGCCAUGCCGCGUGCAGGAAGAAUGUCUUAAUGGAUUGUAAACUGCUUUGUAUGGGAAUAAGUAAUAGCUUUGCGAAGUUAGAUGCAUGUACCAUACGAAUAAGGAUCGG